UUUUUUUAAAUAAAACAAAAUCUAAAAUCUUUCCAAUCUACGAUAAUUUUAGUUUUCUUGGGCCACUUGAAAUAAAGGCUAAGAACACUGAUGUCCGAAAUUGAGGCAAGCCUCUUCGGGUGCAUCGCCAUUCUUCCCUGCUUGACCAACCAGGUCAAAAGCCUUCAUAGGAAUGACUUUGUAUAAUAAUCCAGGGGGGUAAUGGAUUGCAUCCCCCCUGAAACCACCUAUGCUUCUAAGGAGGGGGGACCGAGAACGACGGGAAGCUGCAGCAGCAGCUCUGGGAGAGGGAGGAGAACCAGGACAACAGCUGCAGGAGGAGGAGGAGGAGGAUUCCGAUGAUGACAGUGAAGUAGGAGAAGAAGAGGAUGAUUCUGAUGAUGAAGACGGGCCUCCUGGAUUAAACUGUGCUCAGUCCUAAAUUGUCCAAAAAAUACAGUGGUCUCUAUAAAACUGUGGAUUAGGAAGAAUCUUAAGAAGCUUGAAAAUCAUUCUAAGAAGCAAAAUGGUGCAACAAUCCUCUUCCUAUUCAACAUUUUUAUUGGUCUUACUGAAUCUCUUAUUAAAAGAUUUUACGAAAAAUUCAACCAAUGUGAGUUUUCCAAUCCGACCAAUGAGAGGCUAAGAAAUCUUAAAAGAUAAAUAUUCACAAACUAAUUCAGUUUAUCUCCUGUAGCUGUUUUAACUAAGAUGUUAAUUUUUGAAAUGGCAAAUUAUCCCCCAGAAAUUUUGAUUCUCCUAAAAGCCAAGUCUAUUCAAAUUGAAAAUUGUUAGAUUUAUAAGAAAAUAGCUACACUACAGUGGUAGGCAAUUGUAACAAUACAAAGAAGACGACUUUUUAUUUAAGUUUUGAAAGUUUUUUUUCAAGUUGCAAGUUACUAGAAUUCAACGAGAAACUUGUUUGUGUUUCCAUGCUAUUCUACACCUUAAUAUAAAGCAAUUUUUAAAUAGAAAGUCGUCUUCAUUGUAUUAAUAUAAUCGCCUACCACUGUACUCUAUCCUACGUGUCAUUUAUUUGUCAUUUUCUUGAGUCAUCCUAAUCUUGUUGAAAUUGACAUUUAUGAAAAAAAAUGAAAAUUUAAUUUAAAGUUUAAAAAAAUAAAUAUUUAUUUUUAAAGAAAUUUGAUAAUCAUACAUUGUAAUGUAAGAUUUACAAAUAAAUUUUAUAUUUUUAA